rnacentral:rRNA from 1 species
AUUGAACGCUGGCGGCAGGCCUAACACAUGCAAGUCGAGCGGAGCGGCGGACGGGUGAGUAAUGCCUAGGAAUCUGCCUGGUAGUGGGGGAUAACGUCCGGAAACGGGCGCUAAUACCGCAUACUAUCAGAUGAGCCUAGGUCGGAUUAGCUAGUUGGUGGGGUAAAGGCCUACCAGGGCGACGAUCCGUAACUGGUCUGAGAGGAGGAUCAGUCAAACUGGAAGUAGGACACGGUCCAACCGCCAACGGGAGGCAGCAGGGGGGAAUAUGGGACAAUGGGCGAAGGCCUGAGCCAGCCAUGCCGCGUGGGUAAAGAAGGUCUUCGGAUUGUAAAGCACUUUAAGUUGGGAGGCGUUACCAACAGAAUAAGCACCGGCUAACUUCGUGCCAGCAGCCGCGGUAAGUC